UAUUGAAAUAUAAAAUAACCCAAGGUUCUUACUAAAACAUAUUAAGUCAUUUGAAUUAAGAAACGUUUUAUUGGUAGCUGAGUUUAGAUGGAAAAGAUGCUGAUUCUUUUCCCAGUUCUCCAGUCAUUACAGAUGCUUAUCCAAAGCCUCCUCAGUUCCAGGUCACCUUGCAACUUUGACAAACUUGUAGAUCUAUAGCACUUUAUGUCAGAAGGAACUUAGGGAUCACUGCUGUUCACCUGCAGGGAGGAGGGUAUUGGGGACUAGAGUCCAGUUACCUUCCUGGUUCUUUUCCAGAUGACUCAUCCGGGAGUGAAGUCACGACCACACUCCUGGGACUCCAUCUCUAGAGAGAAGAGCUAAUCAUAAUGCUUUCUUCCCUGCUUUCUGGUGGCGAGUCCUCUGAAGUCAAAGACCCGAGCCCAGUCAUCUUCUUACCCAGCAUCUGUCUAACAUCUUGCAGGCCUUCAGGGAAUGUUAUGUAUGAGACUUUCUGGACUCAGCUUCUCCUUCUCUAAACAAAGAUUGGGAUCUAAAUUGCUAAUAUCGGGCUUCCCUGGUGGCGCAGUGGUUAAGAAUCCGCCUGCCAGUGCAGGGGACAUGGGUUCGAGCCCUGGUCUGGGAAGAUCCCACAUGUCGCGGAGCAACUAAGCCCCUGCGCCACAACUACUGAGCCUGCACUCUAGAGCCCUAGAGCCACAACUACUGAGCCCACGUGCCACAACUACUGAAGCCCGUGCACCUAGAGCCCGUGCUCCACAACAAGAGAAGCCACCGCAAUGAGAAGCCCGUGCACCGCAACGAAGAGUAGCCCCCGCUCACCACAACUAGGGAAAGCCCGCGCACAGCAACAAAGACCCAACGCAGCCACAAAUACAUAAUAAAUUAAUUAAUUAGUUUUUAAAAAUUAUAAAAAAAUAAAUUGCUAAUAUUCUUUUCAGCUGUGAGGGUCUGUGAUUUAAAGAUCGAGGUCUUCACUUCACUCAUCUUUAACCAGAUGGUUGACUCACCCCAAAUCCUCCGAAACUUGGACAUUUCAGCUGGAUGAGAAGCUGAAGGAUGAGCUGGUCCUUUCAGAUCCAGAGAGAGAGGAGUUUCUGCAGGCGAGGUGUUCUAGCCCUGAGGGAUGAGCCAGGCUACUGUGACUGUGACGUUCCCUGUGCCUUGAUCUCACUCCACCUUUUAAGAUAACUGUGGCAGGUGAGAGAGGGCUCUGGGGCCAGCUGAUUCUGAACACGGAUCCCAGGGAAGGCUGUGACGGCUGAGAUCCUUGUCGUAGGAGGCUGGGACAGGUAGCUUGAGAGCUCUGCAGACUCUGUCCCAUGGCCCAGGUCACCUACAUGGCUGAAGCUUUCACGACUCCUCCGGGAGAAUUUAUUCAGCCCACACUAACUGGUGAUCUCGGAUGUUCCCAGCAUAAUGUCUGAUAGGGAGGGAAAGAUGAGUCAUGCCGGUUCCUGCAACCCUAGGGAAGCUCGGGCGGACAGACGGUUGCAAGUUUGGUUGCAUGGGAAGGAGGCUUAGUCACAUCCUCCUGCUCUGGGCUUCUAGAGUCCAUCUACCUAGCUGCACUCCGGCUUCCGUCACGGUGUGUGGUCAUUUAUUUGUCUGCGUGUCUGUUUCUUCUCCUAUUGUAAUGUGUGUUCCUCUGGGGCAGAGACCAGACCUUAGACAUGGUCUCCGGUCCGUCUUCUGUGCCAGCUGAAAUAUUAUCAGUGUUUGUGUACUACAUUAAGGUGAGAGCUACUGCAUUUAUUCAUCUGUUCAUUCAUUCAUUCAGUAUCCAAUGUCCAGUUGCUGAUUUCAUUAUAUAACACUACCUCUAGUCAGCCUUGUUACUAAUAUCAGAGAUUUACAAAAGGAUAGCUCAGCUCUGAGUGUCAGGUGUGGCUCAUGGAGGAGAAUUAAAGGAGACCCUGCCCCAACUCCCUUGUCACACCAACAAAGACCCCUGGCCUCUCAUCCUUUGCCAGCCCUAGGGGUGAUUCAGAACUGGCUGUGGACAAGACCCCUCAGACAUUGUAAAAUGAGUGCUGGCCACCGUGGGACAGGCUGGGUUCUGACUGCCCCAGGUCUGCCACUUCUUAGAUGGGUGAGAGGGGACAGGUGGCUUCCCCUCCCCAAGUCUCAGUUACUUCACCUGGGAAAUGGGGAGGAUAGAACUCGGUUUUGCCUUCUUCCCAAGGCUUUUGAAAGAGUCACGGGUGUGACUGGUAAAAGUGCACCAGGGGAAGCGAAGAUUGUUACAGACUAAGGCACCUCCCUCUGCACCGUGCCCUAGGACCCUGCAUGUGCUUUGGAAAAAAGCUAUCCCAUAGGCACACACCAUGCCUUCCUUUUGGUAUGUAGAAUAAUUAUUUCUUCCCUUUAUUAUGUUUCUGAGAGUCUGGAGGAGUGGCUUGGCAAGAAGUGGAACAAGUCCCCAAACUGCCAUCCCCUGAUGGCAUCCACAUUUCACUAGAAGCCCAUGUGGAGCUCAAGAAGACUGCAUCCUCAGCAGGGGCUUUCUUGUGGAGAUUUUAUGGUUAUUGGCUAGAAAGCCAAUGAAACAAUGGUCACUGGCUAAAGAGCCAAAGAAAGUCCUCCACGCCUGCAUGACUCAGCCCCAGGAGAGGCUCGUUGCAUGUUAAAAUCAAGGGAAGUGUAUAUAUGUCUAUGCCACUCUCUCACUUUGUCACAGCUUACCCUUCCCCC